UGUAUCUGAAGCCUGAUGAGGAUGAGAACCUCCGGGGGCAAGAGGUUCGACCCGAGCGCAGCGAGAGAACGUUGCUUCAGCAACGGCCCGCAGGGCGAGCCACGCAGUGGCGAGUCAUCCUCUAUCACCGACCA
rnacentral:sRNA from 1 species